rnacentral:rRNA from 1 species
AUUGAACGCUGGCGGCAGGCUUAACACAUGCAAGUCGAGCGGAGAUGAGGUGCUUGCACCUUAUCUUAGCGGCGGACGGGUGAGUAAUGCUUAGGAAUCUGCCUAUUAGUGGGGGACAACAUUCCGAAAGGAAUGCUAAUACCGCAUACGCCCUACGGGGGAAAGUAGGGGAUCUUCGGACCUUGCGCUAAUAGAUGAGCCUACGUCGGAUUAGCUAGUUGGUGGGGUAAAGGCCUACCAAGGCGACGAUCUGUAGCGGGUCUGAGAGGAUGAUCCGCCACACUGGGACUGAGACACGGCCCAGACUCCUACGGGAGGCAGCAGUGGGGAAUAUUGGACAAUGGGCGGAAGCCUGAUCCAGCCAUGCCGCGUGUGUGAAGAAGGCCUUUUGGUUGUAAAGCACUUUAAGCGAGGAGGAGGCUACUAGUACUAAUACUACUGGAUAGUGGACGUUACUCGCAGAAUAAGCACCGGCUAACUCUGUGCCAGCAGCCGCAGUAAAAC